rnacentral:lncRNA from 1 species
CUAGCUUAAAUUAUGAGAUCUCACCUUAGACCACCAUUCACAUCAAGCUAAAUCCACUAUUGGAAAGCUUGCUUCCACCAUUAGAGAGAGCUUCAACUUCAAGCUACUCUAAUCUUCUCCAAGCUUGCUUCAAUUUUUCUUUCUUUUCUUCUCCAAUCCUCUCUUUGGUGUAGAGAGAGAUUUUUCUCUUUGCUUGUGAGUGUGAAUAAUGAGAGGAAAGAAAGCCCAAGUCCUAUAUAUACAUAGAGAGGAAACUUGCUCUCCAAGUUUCCUAUGAAGCCUCCAAAAACACUAUUCACUCCAGGCAACUUAAAAUCUGAUAUCUUUCGCCGGAGCUCCCAGAGUAUCCGUUUGAGCUCAAAUUUGACAGUCAUAUUCGGUUUAAUGUACUGAACAAGAAUAUACUUUAAGUUUUCAGUUUCGACCCCGUUUGGUCACCGAAAACUAUACCAAACUAUAAUCUUUAUCAGAUAGAUUUCGGAUUUUAUUUCUCAACUUUCGGGUGUCAGAAAAAUAUGAAACUUUAAAUCUAGCCUCAUAAAAAUAUUUCUGACUUAUCCUCCAAUUUUCAUAAUUUUCUGACACUAUGCAUUUUCUGCUAAUUUAUCCGCCCCGUUUUCAACAGAAAAUUAUAAAUCUUCUGUUUUCAUUCCGAUUUCAACAAAAGUCAUUAUAGACUUAUAUUUUAUUUUUCGAAACCCAAUAAAAAUAGUAUCUA